GUCGUGAAUGGAUUGGUUCAAAUGCUGCUUUGUAUCUGUAGGUUCAAGGCUUUAGAAUAGGUCACCUAAAAAUGAGCCAUUUCUUAUUUCGUUUUUGUUCUGUUGAAUGGAUGAGGACACGUCAGACUUCUUAACCACAGAAGAAAGCAUGGGAAGAAAGUUGGAACACAAUGAGGAAACAGAAAGGGUGAAAGAUGACUUGAAGCACUUCACCCCCUGCCUGUGUCUUUUGUCUAUGCUCUGUGGCAGCUGGAGUGAUUACACCUUCACUCGGUUUACAGUCACGACAAGAUUCACUUGCCACAUACUUACAGGUAUGAAGCCAUAACUGCAUACAGUCAUCCAUGCCCAAACACACAUUUAGAUCGCUCUGAAGCAUACUGUACACCUCCUUUCUUUUAUCCCUCUAAAGGGAGAACCUGAAGCUUUAGACCCAUUCAAACAUGCCCUUUCAGAUCUCUGACCCAAAUAGAUUUUGAAUGAAAGUUCAAAGAAAGUUUGCUUGAAAACAUCUUAAUCUUUGAUAAUUAAGUUGCAAGGUUAUUACAGGUGUAAUAGGUCUUUGUUUGUGUGUUUAUGUCUAAAUUUGCUCUGUCAAGUGGAGUCACACUUUCAGCUAUCUGUACAGUUUAUUUGAAAAGUAUACAUAUUAAAUUGAAUAAAAUCUGUACGACAACACUAACACAGGAAGUAAAUUUUGCAAUGCUGUGCAAUGCAUAAGAACUCCUAGUGUUAAUGCACCUUGCACAGUCAGCAAUGUUUUCCUGUUUUCCAAUGAACUGUGCACAUGCUCAGACACACAAGAGACAUUCAUGCACAGUGAUCUUGAGUAAGGUGCUGACCUCUUUCACCCCUACUUUCUUGUCUCCAGCCCAUCCAAAAGACAAAACCAGAAUUGACCAGAGGCAUUGAGGUUUAAAGGCUCAGGUUCACUGUACUUUAUUUUCUGUUUUCCUUUUUUUCAUGCACAGUUUAGCAAGUAAGCCUUCCAAAGUAUAACCUUUUGACCAUAAACAUGGAUAGACAUGUUGUACAUCAAGUGGACCAUUCUUUUCAAGCGCUCAAACCGCUAACACGCUUUACACCUAUAUGAUAUCUCACCUAGCCUAACAAAUGAUCCAGGACAGCCUAAAAAACAAGGUGCAUGGCACCCCUGGAGAGAUCUGUCUAUUUACCCUAUGCACUCUUCAUUUUCUCCACAUUUCUCUUCCUCCUGUUCUACUUACCUUUCGCUCAUCAAGGAUGGCUGAUUCCUUUCCAUCUGCACAUGCAGUACAAAUGCAGCCGCAGCCCACAGAGGUCGAUUAAUAUUAAUGUCAGGCCCUCGUGAGGUGUCGGGGUCUAAUUAGGAGGAUCUUGUUACUGUAACGUGCUCACUGGCCUGCUGGGAUGUGAGAGGGGACAGGACACCCACCCACCUCUGCGCCAGCCCCCGCAGCACUGCGCGUUUAGCGGGGCUCUGCGUGUUCCAGAUCAUUAAUGCAAAAACCGGUCCACACGCGCUCUGUGCUGCAUCAACUCUGCGGAACUUUCCCGCUGUUCCGCUAAUUAGACAUUCUGUUUCAUAGCCGACUCUAGCGCCCUCUACAUGGCUGAGAAAUCCUGGUUGCCUCUGCUAUUUGGUGACACAACUUGAUCUCAAACUUACGGGGCCUCCUCAGAAGAAUGUUUUAUUUGAACGCCUCCACAUUCCCGCUCUUCUGCAUGAACUUUUUGAUUACAGAGCUGCGGCGACCUCAUACCUCCCUCCCACCGCCUGAGUAAAGCUCCAGGCUCCUGAAGCUAGGAGGGGGUAUCUCUCGGCUCCACGCAUCGUCCCCUGCCUCGCUAACUCCAGUGGGAAUUUUCUUCAUGUCCUUGGUCUCUGAUGCUAGUCCCUACGGUAUUCUCCUCUCAGCACCUGCCUUGUCUCUACCUCUCUUCCCUUUUCCUUGUUGUGCAUAUGCAAAGAGAGGCAGGCGCUCCCCUCAAAUGAGCAGGGUCCCUGACAGCCUCAUCAAUGGCGUUGACAGAAUAAGGACGAGGGGAUGAUGAUCUGAGGAGAGCUUGGUGUUGAGGUGCAGCCUCCCAGUGGAUUCAUCAAGCCACCUGACACGCCUUAGCUGUGGCGCCAAUUGCGGGAGUUAUCCCGAGAGAGCUUUAGCCCUUUAUCUGAGUGUCUCCAUACCUUCCUAAGUGAAUUUACAUUUCAAAACAGCAGCUUUUCAAUCACGCAGGAUCAGUACAGGGUCCCCCUUUAUCAUUAAGUUUACCAUCAGUUAAAGGAGAGACUUACUUGACAGAAUGGACGUGAAGUUUAGCGGGAGGAGGAUUUUGCUCUUUGAUGGCUGAGUGCACUGCAUUUCCUCUCUCAAAUGAGCAAGUCAAUUGGUCAAAAGUCUCUACUGCAGUACUGAAGUGCUAAUGACAACCAGUGCGCGGUUUUAUCUUCAAAUUCCCAAAUCAUUACAAAAAUAUGUUGCUGCAUAUAAGAAGCCUAGGGAAUGUUAACAAAAGUUCCCAAACUGUCGGCACGGUAUUUUUGCACGCUAAGCCGUUCACACGCUGAACUCCGGUGUGUUUCACUGUAUGUCUCAGUAUAACAGACAGCCUGUGGGGUGGUGAAAGUUCCCACAGUGACAGCGACUUUUACCUGAUCAUCUUGGCAGGCCCUCGAUGAGAUUAUCAGCUCGGCCAUUCAUCACUCAUGAUCUGCCGAUCAGCUGAUCCUUAUCCUCCUCUAUCCGUGCUGUGACGGAGGCAAGGCUACAUGCUCUCAGCUGAGUGCUCAGUCAUCUUUACACUAUGUGCUAUUUAAACACUGCAGAAAGCAACAGACAGCACAAUCAUUAGGCUAAAUAUUGGCACAGGUGCCAGAACAGGUGUGUCUGAAGUCACUCCUAUGGGAUCUCUAUAUGUUUAACACCUACAGCCAGAGACAUGGAUAUAAGGGGAAAAUAUUUAAUUUUAUAUGAAUGCCUGACUAUGAAUUGAAAUCCUACUAGUGGUGGGGUAAAAACUGUAAAAAUGUAGCAUGUCAAGCAACAACUUACUCAUAAUAAAAAUAUAAAACGUCAGCAUGAAAUGCAAAUUUACCCUAUUUUCUAUCUUCUAAUUGC
ensembl:lncRNA